rnacentral:rRNA from 1 species
AGUGAACGCUGGCGGUAGGCCUAACACAUGCAAGUCGAACGGCAGCACAGUAAGAGCUUGCUCUUACGGGUGGCGAGUGGCGGACGGGUGAGGAAUACAUCGGAAUCUACUUUUUCGUGGGGGAUAACGUAGGGAAACUUACGCUAAUACCGCAUACGACCUACGGGUGAAAGCAGGGGAUCUUCGGACCUUGCGCGAUUGAAUGAGCCGAUGUCGGAUUAGCUAGUUGGCGGGGUAAAGGCCCACCAAGGCGACGAUCCGUAGCUGGUCUGAGAGGAUGAUCAGCCACACUGGAGCUGAGACACGGUCCAGACUCCUACGGGAGGCAGCAGUGUGGAAUAUUGGACAAAGGGCGCAAGCCUGAUCCAGCCAUACCGAGUGGGUGAAGAAGGCCUUCGGGUUGUAAAGCCCUUUUGUUGGGAAAGAAAAGCAGCAGGUUAAUACCCCGCUGUUCUGACGGUACCCAAAGAAUAAGCACCGGCUAACUUCGUG